rnacentral:rRNA from 1 species
UACGUAGGGUGCGAGCGUUGUCCGGAAUUAUUGGGCGUAAAGAGCUCGUAGGUGGUCUGUCACGUCGGAUGUGAAAACUCGGGGCUCAACCCCGAGCCUGCAUUCGAUACGGGCAGGCUCGAGUUCGGUAGGGGAGACUGGAAUUCCUGGUGUAGCGGUGAAAUGCGCAGAUAUCAGGAGGAACACCGAUGGCGAAGGCAGGUCUCUGGGCCGAUACUGACGCUGAGGAGCGAAAGCGUGGGGAGCGAACAGG